rnacentral:misc_RNA from 1 species
GUGAAUUGUGAACAGAGUUCCACUUGUCUUCCAAUUUUGUUCCUCCAAGGAGAGUUAAGGUUGCGCGUGUGGUCCUUUAGAUUGGUACACAUGAACUCGUAUGGAGGUUAGUGGUCUGGAUUCGUUCCCCUAUCGUGCAGUCGAGGCAGAGAAGGCUUGUUGUUGAUUGCUGUAAUUAUCUUGUAGGAUAGAGUCAAUUCUUUUCCUUCUGAAGCUGAAUUCUUUGUCUCGAAUUGGGAUUUUCGAUCAUAAU